ensembl:processed_transcript Gm13270 predicted gene 13270
CUGUGGGCGGAAGCAGGGGAUUCUAAGCUGGGCGCUGGUACCGAGGUAGACUCUGAGAAUGCAACUUGUGUUGAGGGAUUUGGAGUUCCGUCCUGAGAAAUCCACAAGUCAGAUGACCUAAACCUCCUUCACUGUGUUUAUAAAUAAAUUCGACUUCUCCGGGGAAGAGAAAUGUAGAAGAAUAUUUUAAGGCACAUGAAGGUUACUACAAGCUGGUUGGAACCAGACUGUAUUGGCCCAGGGACUGACUGUCCACAGUAUCGUCCUAUGAUGGGUGAUCCAGGGGAGUCACCAUUCCUGACAGUGACCGAGUCUGAUGUGCAAGUUGGAUGGUUCUCCACACUAAAGUCACUAAAUGUGAGCUGCAGAAGAGAAAAGGCAUGAUGAGUCCCCAUGAGCUGAAAAGGAGUCACCCUGCCUCCAGGCAGACAAGUUUUCUACAGACGAUUUGAUUUCCUUGAGAAGCUUGGUUCAUCAGUGAUGCCUUGAUCCUUUUGUAUCAUGAAAAAAAGAUGAAAGAUGUCUUUGAGGAUAAUUUCCCAAAUAGCCCCAUGUGCUUCUCUUCAUUGGUAUGCUGUGGAGGGUUUUUAAACUUCUAAGGCCUAAAAAGAAUUGAACCACCUUCUGUGAAUCCUUCUGGUUCUGGGAACUACUGGCAGUCUGACCACACUGAGCUUAGUCUCGUAGGACCAGUGGAGCACACUGAUAAGACAGAGACUCUCCAGAACCAAACUGGAGUGAACCUCCCAUACAGGAAACCUGAGACAGGAGGCUUUCCUUGCUAAGGACCUGCUUCACUCAUAGUUCAUAGGUCAUGCUUCCUAUAUGGGAACACAGGAUUUCAGCAUUGUACUGACAAAGCUCCUUUGUAUCUUCUGGACUGAAAUAGUAGCCAUUUGACUCCUGCUGUUGUCCAAGAAUAAGAAGACUAUGCAGAUAAAUGAGAAAGCGUGUUAUUUCAUUGAACUAACCUACUCGAAACUCGAGGACAUCAAAUGUACAGUCUUGAUGACUUUCGAGGGAAAGUCCUAGAAAAUGGAUACUUAUGGAUGAAUUUUCCCGAUUUGGAUUACUGAGAGUCCAUUCACAGUCUAGAUUUCUCGCGUAAUCACUGAUUCCAUUAUAGCCAGGAGAAGAAAAGUUUCCACCAGAGACACUUGGAAGAGUUCCACCACACACUAAGGCAACAAAAGGCGGAGAAAAAGCAAUAAGAGCCAUGUUAUAACAGACAACUCCAACAAUUGAGGCGCAAUGAGUGACAGAAUAAACGUGUUGACUGGCUCUUCUAGGUGUAGUCAGGCUAGUAGAACAUGAAAACUAUAGGAGAAAUGCCUUUGGGUUUAUGAAGGAAAAAUACACAAGACAAAGUUCCUUUAUUUCCCUUCUGGAAUGGUGAAUAUGGCUAUGGUUUGGCUGUGCAUCAGUUUCUCCAAAACUGGACAUAUUAUUCAUUUAAUAGUUAAUUUAGAAAAAUACACAAACUGCUGCUAGGUCCUAGUGGCUUUUCAUGAACAAUUUCCCAUUUGGUUCAACAAUUUAUCUGCAUCAAAUAGGCACUGUAACACGAAAGUGUUGACAAACCCACUAUUUUUAAUAUAUAACAAAUGUCUCUUAUACCAAUAAAAUAAAUUUUAAAAAUUU